rnacentral:piRNA from 2 species
UCCCCCUUUUGUACAUGGUCUUGUUGA